AUGGACCCUGGUGUGCUCAUAUUCUUACUUUACGUCAUGAUAGCUCACGAGCUUGUGUGUGGAUUGAUGCAGUACAGGAGACAAGCAGCCAAACCUAACAAACGCCUGAUGUGGUGCUCCAGUUCCCGUGUCUGUCAUGGAACAUGGAGAGUCAGUAGCCAGCCGGUGCGGACAGGGAGACGAGACUUGAAGAAAACUGGACGUAUUGUCAGGAAAGCGUGACACGAGGGCAGCUGUUGACUUACGAUCCAUAAAUGUGGUUCUUAAUCAUCCUUCCUGCACUGUGAUCAAUCACUGAAGCUAUGCUGACCGCUCACUGCCAGUUCAUGACUAUAUCAUUUCAACUUUGAUGCUCAAAGUUUACAGUUUUCCUAUUCACUGUAAUUGUGGACAUCUUUAGAGGUUCAUUUUUAGCUAUAGUUCACCUAGAAAUUGAAAUUCUGCCAUUAUUUACUCACCCUCAUCGUCGUUGCAAAUGUAUGAAAACUUUUAAAAACUAUACUUCCUGUGAUUUUUUUUUCGCUGCAGUUACAAUGCUUCAGAAUGGACACAAACAGCACCAUAAAAGUGAUCCAAGUCUUCUGAAGUCAUGUGAUAGCUUUGAGAAAAAAGUCACAGGUUUGGAAUGGCAGAAAAUAAUGGCAGAAUUUUAAUUCAUGAGUGAUUUAAUUCUUGAAGUAUGUUUGUAGAACUACGUUUUUUCUUAGUGAUUUGAAAGCUGCUGUUUUUACCUAAACUGAAUAUAUUGUGUGUGGUUAAUAUGAGUUGUUUUUGCCAAAUGUAUAGUUCAGUCCCAUUCAAGCAGAGGUGAUUCGAGAUCUCUGAUCACAUUUACAAUGUAAUAACACUGUGCACUUGAGUAUGGAAAUUAAUCCCAGAUUGCAGCAAUUAAUCUACAUUAUAUCACUUUUGAUAAAAAUCAUCUGCUAAAUGGGUUUCCGAAACACACUUUGAAUAUUUCUUGUUCAUUUUGCUGUUUCUGCCCUUAUUACAUUUUGUAAAUGAAUUGCAAAUUCUGGAUGUAAUAAGUCAA
ensembl:lncRNA